rnacentral:rRNA from 1 species
GAGGAAUAUUGCACAAUGGGCGCAAGCCUGAUGCAGCGACGCCGCGUGUGGGAUGAAGGGGCUACGCCUCGUAAACCACUGUAGCCCGGGACGAAAAACGCCUUAGAGGCGUUAGACGGUACCGGGAAAGUAAGGGUCGGCUAACUACGUGCCAGCAGCCGCGGUAAUACGGAGGGUGCGAGCGUUAUCCGGAUUUACUGGGUUUAAAGGGUGCGUAGGUGGGCUUAUAAGUCAGUGGUGAAAUCUCCGAGCUUAACUUGGAAACUGCCGUCGAUACUAUAGGUCUUGAAUUAUCUGGAGGUAAGCGGAAUAUGUCAUGUAGCGGUGAAAUGCUUAGAUAUGACAUAGAACACCAAUUGCGAAGGCAGCUUACUACAUAUAAAUUGACGCUGAGGCACGAAAGCGUGGGGAUCAAACA